GAUCCGCCGGGGUGCUUCACCUGGCGGGCAAGAAAUCAUGACAGAAGUCCGGCGAAUGGGGUUCAGCCUGAGCGAGCGCUGCACGCCACCAACAGCGCCACCGCAGGCCCUCUUGCCGGCGCACCCGCGCGACUGCGCGUGGCUCCGUUGAGGGGAUCCGCCGGGGUGCUUCACCUGGCAGGCAAGAAAUCACGGUAGAAGUCCGGCGAUGGGGAUUCAGCCUGAGCGAGCGCCGCACGUCACGGCGGGAGGGGCCACGAGCGCUGAAUCGAGAACAAGUUGCACAAAAGCUUCUGGAUAUUUGGUUUAUUCAUUCAGAAGAUCAGGUGGCUGAUGGCUUCAUAGAGGCACUUCCCGAGCGACAGCUGCUCACAUUUCGAAGUAAUCUCAACUUGACAGAAAGUUGUGGUUAACGGAGGGUGUUAAGAUAUCAGUGGUAGCUUGUUCCCUUGUAUGAGUGAUUGAUUCUUGUAUUUCUAGAUUAGGAAUGCUAGCACAAAUUGUUUUAUUUCCUUUCUCUGUAAUCAUGUAAUGCAAGCUACACUUGUACAAGCCACACUCAGGGGCUGUUCUUGGCUAUGUAACACGGAACCGUGAUCCCUAAUGGGCAUCAUGGUAACUCCAAUUUCACAAUCAUUGCAGUUUAUCCUA